AUGAGGAUUGGUUUGAUGAGGAGUAUGAGGUUUGGGACCCAGCCGCGGCGCGGCGAGAGGGAGCUUAUUGGUACAGAGUUUACAAUGAGGGACUGGAAGCUUUCGAGGAUGCUGAAGCAGUCAGGAUUGGAGUUCAAUGAGGGUCAGGUUUUGAAGGGGCUUGGUGUUAAGAAAUGUUGGAAGCAGGCGUUGACUGUGGUGGAAUGGGUUUAUAAGGACAGGGGCAAUAACCACUGCAAAAGCAGGUUUGUAUACACAAAGCUUUUGUCAAUUCUUCGGAAGGCAGGAAGGCCACAGGAAGCUCUUGACAUUUUCAACAAGAUGUGUGGAGAUUGUCAUAUAUAUCCAGAUAUUGCUGCCUAUCACAGUAUUGCUGUUACACUCGGCCAAACAGGUCGUCUGAAGGAAUUGCUGAAAGUUAUCGAAUGCAUGAGGCAGAAACCUGUCAAAAUAAAUAGAUAUAUAUUUCGCAACUGGGACCCUGUCCUUGAACCGGAUGUAGUUGUGUAUAAUGCUAUACUGAAUGCUUGUGUUCAAUCCCAUCAGUGGAAGAGUGUAUAUUGGGUGUUUAACCAGUUGAGAAAGAGUGGUCUGAAACCUAAUGGAGCAACACACGGGCUUGCUAUGGAGGUGAUGCUGUAAUCUGGAAAGUAUGACCUCGGCCAUGAAUUAUUAGAAAAAUGGAAAGGAGUGGAGAAGCUCCGAAAGCUCUUACCUAUAAAGUUAUUGUUUGAGCUAUAUGGUGUGAAGGAAAAGUGAAAGAAGCUGUGAAAGCAGUCAUGGACAUGGAAUGAAGGGGAGUGGUUGGGACAAGUGGCAUAUAUUAUGAGUUAGCUUGCUGCCUUUCCAAUAGCGGUAAAUGGCAGGAUGCUCUGUUACAGUUUGAGAAGAUGAAAAAUGUAUCCAAUACUAAACCUUUGGAGGUCACCUUCACAGGCAUGAUAAGGUCUUCCAUGGAAGGUGGACAAAUUUAUGUAUAUCCAUAUGUGAACAGAUGAAGAACCAUUGUAGCCCUAACAUAGGGACAAUUAAUAUGAUGUUGAAAGUUGUUAGACACACUUAUAUGUUUUCCAAAGCUAAAGAAUCGUUUGAAGAAACUAAGGCUGCUAAAUCUGAUUCUGACCCUUUGCUGGAAGGUGGUGGUAAUUCUCUUGUGCCCAAUGAGUACACUUAUACUUCAAUGCUCAAGGCAUCUGCCAGUGCUCUGCAAUGGGAAUACGUUGCAUAUGUUUACAGAGAGAUGGCUCUCUCGGGAUAUCGAAUAGAUCAAAGUAAAAAUGCUUCAAUUCUCGGGGAAGCAUCCAGAACUGGGAAGGGGUAUCUACUAGAGCAUGCAUUUGACACAACAUUGGAAGCUGGUGAAAUCCCCCAUCUAAUUUUCUUUAUUGAAAUGGUAUAUCAACUACAGCUCGGCAUGAUUACAAGAGAGCGGCAACUCUGGUUAAGACAAUGGUUUAUGCCCCAUUUCAAAUCAGUGAAAAGCAGUGGACAUGUUUUCAAGAAAAAUGAAGACGGGGUCAGUCAGGAUGGUAUAAAGAAACUGCUGGAUGCUCUAGAGCAUUGUGAUGUAACAUCGGCAGCCACGCUCUUAAACUUGAAAAGUUCUUUGCAUAGUCUCUGUCGGUCUUAUACAUCAAGAGACUUCUCAGAUUUGGUAUCAGUAUCAUCUUUAGAUGAUAAUGAUGAGGGAUCUGAUGAUAAUGAAGGGCUCAUUAUGCCAAAUCAUUCUUUAGGAUAUAUUAAUGGUAAGAUGAAUCCUGGCACGGACCCUCCUGAUGACAGUAGUGAUGCUCCUUUCAGUGAGUUUCCUCGUAGGACUUGGAGCAGUAGUAUCAGAAGUGAUUGCGGCUGA